AUUUGUAGUUAAAUAGGUUGCUCCUAUAUUAUCACACCGUAAAGUUGGUGGAGUGGAUGCAAGGUGGCCGAUCUCAUGAAGAAGAUAUGUUAACCAUAUAACCUCUGAAAUGGCAGCGCCUAUUGCCUGAUACUCGGCUUUAGUGGAUGAUUUGGCCACUGUUGCUUGGCGUUUGGUGCUCCAAGAUACCAGAUUUUUCCCUAUAAAAAUAGUAUAUCCGGUGAUUGACUUUCGAUUGUCAAUAUUGCUAGCCCAAUCAGCGUCCGAGCAUGCAUUUAUAGUAUGAGAUGAACAUUUAGUAAUAUGAAGUCUAAAU
rnacentral:misc_RNA from 1 species